rnacentral:tRNA from 1 species
GCCAGGGUGACCGAGUGGUUAAAGUGUUGGGUUUAAAAUCCGUUGGACAAGGGUCUGCGUGGGUUCAAACCCUGUUCCUAGUA